UCCCUGGUGACUCAGUGGUAAAGAAUUCGCCUGCAAUGCAGGAGACCCGGGUUCGAUUCCUGGCGGGGGAA
rnacentral:tRNA from 1 species